UAGCCAUAAACACACAAACGAGAACUCUCUAGAUGCUCCACUUUUCCAACUGCUCCUUUCUUCUUCAAUACAACUAGAAUCUUUCCUUUUUAUUGUCAAAAACACACGAGCAAAUAGUGAUAAAACAAAGAGAAUCCCACAAACUUCAUAUCUUCUUCUUAAAUACCUUCUUCUUCUCUUCAUUUAAGCUCGUGUUGAUCCGAAGAUAUGAGCGAUCCCAAAUAUGCCUACCCGUACCCACCUCCUCCAGGAGGGUAUUAUCAAGGACCGCCCGUGAUGGCACCGCCGCAAUACGCUGCACCGCCGCCGAAAAGACAACCGGGGUUCUUGGAGGGAUGCCUUGCAGCUCUGUGUUGCUGCUGCCUCCUUGAUGAGUGCUGCUGUGAUCCUUCCAUACUCCUUGUUACUUGAUAUGAGCUUUGCUUGCCUGAUUUGUAGCUGUGAAAUGGGUUAUGUUCUUUUACUUCUUUGGGAGUGGGUUUGAGUUUGUGUAAACUUUGGAAAGAAUAUUGUUGAUUGGUGUCUAGAAUAAAGCUUUGUUUUGAUGUGAA